rnacentral:rRNA from 1 species
AGUGAACGCUGGCGGUAGGCCUAACACAUGCAAGUCGAACGGCAGCACAGUAAGAGCUUGCUCUUACGGGUGGCGAGUGGCGGACGGGUGAGGAAUACAUCGGAAUCUACUUUUUCGUGGGGGAUCACGUAGGGAAACUUACGCUAAUACCGCAUACGACCUACGGGUGAAAGCAGGGGAUCUUCGGACCUUGCGCGAUUGAAUGCGCCGAUGUCGGAUUAGCUCGUUGGCGGGGUAAAGGCCCACCAAGGCGACGAUCCGUAGCUGGUCUGAGAGGAUGAUCAGCCACACUGGAACUGAGACACGGUCCAGACUCCUACGGGAGGCAGCAGUGGGGAAUAUUGGACAAUGGGCGCAAGCCUGAUCCAGCCAUACCGCGUGGGUGAAGAAGGCCUUCGGGUUGUAAAGCCCUUUUGUUGGGAAAGAAAAGCAGCAGGUUAAUACCCCGCUGUUCUGACGGUACCCAAAGAAUAAGCACCGGCUAACUUCGUG